AAACAGAAUCAGGACUCCCCUGAAUUCCAAACUAUUUAACCCCUUUUGCUCUAACUCCCUUUCUUUCAUUCAGUGAAAAGAAAUGGAUCUUCAAGAGUGGGAACUUCUUUCUGAUAAUGGACUUCUUGAAGUACUCCAUGAUAAAAAAGACAAUUUUUUGUCUAGGGAUCAUGCUUCUGAUUCCAAAAGAGUGCCAAAUAAACUAGUAAUUCCAUUACUAAUUCAGCAAGAGCCAAGUAUACAAAAACCUCAAGAAGAUGUUGAGGUUAUUAAAGAAGUUAUCACUAAGGUUCCAAUUGAGGAAGCAACUCUAGUGCAAGAUGAGGAAGAUAAAGUGUCACAAGUUUUUUUCAAGAAAAUGAAGGAAAGUGAAUUUGAAAACAUGAAACUGGAUUCACCCAAGUUCAGUAACAAGACUACUUCUGUGUCUCAAAUUGAUUCAAUGAAUUUCCCCUUUGAGGAUGAAGUUGAAGUCUUGGAGGUUGAAAAAGAGAGUGAGAUCAAGAAAAAGGAUAUUAAUGAAGAGAACAAUAUAAAUGGUGGAAUUCACCUAUGGAAAUGGAGAUUGACUGGAGUUGGUGCUAUUUGUUCCUUUGGGGUUGCAGCAGCUGCUGCUGCUGCUGCAAUUUGCAUCUUCAUUGGAAAUCAUCAAAAACAGAAACAGCAUAAGCAGAAUCAGAAGCUUAAAUUCCAAUUUUCUGAUGACAAGGUCAGUGAAGCCUGAGCAGGCACAAAGAAAGAAAGAUCAAGCACUUCAAAGAUGAAAUGAAAAGAUGAGGUGCCUUGGGCACCCCGUUUAGAAAGAAGGGUGAAGGUUUGGGGCAUUUAGUCUCCCCUGUCCCCCUUCAUCGGGCCGUGCUUAUGUGGAGGGUGUGCUACCAGAAAUCGGGCUUGAAGCUCACCUUAACCAACAAGCUGAGAGCUGCCAAUGAACAGACAACUUUUAUGUCAGACUCCACUAAUACCAUGAAUUUAUAAGCCUUAGUGGUAUUCACCCUUAUGUGUGAGAUCCAUAAAUAGUCAAAUCAGUAGCGUGACCACAUAUAGCGAACGGUGUUUAGUUGAACACCCUGGAAAUUAUACUUGAAAAUGAAGCAAGUGGUUCAGCAGCCUGCAACAAAAUUGAAUGAAGCAAUUUGUGGAGUAAGAGUAUCAGUUCCUAUAACGAAACGCAUCACAGACGUUGAAGGAUUAAUUUUACGCUCCUUAGAACAUAUUCAAGACU